rnacentral:rRNA from 1 species
UAACGCGUGGGAAUCUGCCCUGGAGUGGGGGAUAACCCGGCGAAAGCCGGGCUAAUACCCCCUACGUCCUGAGGGAGAAAGAUUUAUCGCUCUAGGAGGGGCCCGCGUCGGAUUAGCUAGUUGGUGAGGUAACGGCUCACCAAGGCGACGAUCCGUAGCUGGUCUGAGAGGAUGAUCAGCCACACUGGGACUGAGACACGGCCCAGACUCCUACGGGAGGCACCAGUGGGGAAUAUUGGACAAUGGGGGCAACCCUGAUCCAGCAAUGCCGCGUGAGUGAUGAAGGCCUUAGGGUUGU